UACAGAGGUCUCAAGCGUUGUUCGGAUUCAUUGGGCGUAAAGGGUGUGUAGGUGGCGCCGUAAGUCGGGUGUGAAAUUUCGAGGCUUAACCUCGAAACUGCAUUCGAUACUGCGGUGCUUGAGGACUGGAGAGGAGACUGGAAUUCAUGGUGUAGCAGUGAAAUGCGCAGAUAUCAGGAGGAACACCGAUGGCGAAGGCAGGUCUCUGGGCCACUACUGACGCUGAGAAGCGAAAGCAUGGGGAGCGAACAGG
rnacentral:rRNA from 1 species